AUUGAACGCUGGCGGCAUGCUUUACACACGCAAGUCGAACGGUAACAGGGAGCUUGCUCCGCUGACGAGUGGCGAACGGGUGAGUAAUGCGUCGGAACGUGCCGAGUAGUGGGGGAUAACGCAGCGAAAGUUGUGCUAAUACCGCAUACGUACUGAGGUAGAAAGUGGGGGACCUUCGGGCCUCACGCUAUUCGAGCGGCCGACGUCUGAUUAGCUAGUAGGUGAGGUAAAGGCUCACCUAGGCGACGAUCAGUAGCGGGUCUGAGAGGAUGAUCCGACACACUGGGACUGAGACACGGCCCAGACUCCUACGGGAGGCAGCAGUGGGGAAUUUUGGACAAUGGGCGAAAGCCUGAUCCAGCCAUGCCGCGUGUCUGAAGAAGGCCUUCGGGUUGUAAAGGACUUUUGUCGGGGAGGAAAUCCCCAGCGCUAAUACCGCUUGGGGAUGACAGUACCUGAAGAAUAAGCACCGGCUAACUACGUGCCAGCCGCCGCCGUAAGAC
rnacentral:rRNA from 1 species